ensembl:snRNA U6 U6 spliceosomal RNA
GUGCUCCCUCUGGCAGCACAUCUGCUAAAAUUGGACUCUGUGGAGAAGACUAGCAUGGCUCCUAUGUAAGGAUGAUAUGCAAAAUCAUGAAGAAGCUCGUUUUAAA